rnacentral:rRNA from 1 species
UACGUAGGGUGCAAGCGUUGUCCGGAAUUAUUGGGCGUAAAGAGCGUGUAGGCGGUUCGAUAAGUUUGCUGUAAAAGUCGGGGGCUCAACCCCCGAAAGCCGGUGAAUACUGUCGGACUAGAGUACGGAAGAGGCGAGUGGAAUUCCUGGUGUAGCGGUGAAAUGCGCAGAUAUCAGGAGGAACACCAAUUGCGAAGGCAGCUCGCUGGGACGUAACUGACGCUGAGACGCGAAAGCGUGGGGAGCAAACAGG